rnacentral:rRNA from 1 species
CCCUUAGACGUUCUGGGCCGCACGCGCGCUACACUGACCAGUGCAACAAGCAUCCGUCCUUGGCCGACAGGCCCGGGCAAUCUUUGAACGCUGGUCGUGAUGGGGAUAGACUUUUGCAAUUUUUGGUCUUCAACGAGGAAUUCCUAGUAAACGCAAGUCAUCAACUUGCAUUGAUUACGUCCCUGCCCUUUGUACACACCGCCCGUCGCACCUACCGAUUGAAUGGUCCGGUGAAGUCUUCGGACCGAUGCUGAUUCGUUGGCAACGGAAAGUUGAGUAAACCUUACCAUUUAGAGGAAGGUGAAGUCGUAACA